rnacentral:rRNA from 1 species
UAGCGGUGCGCCUAACACAUGCAAGUCGAGCGGUAGAAUUAUUAUUGAAUCUUCGGAUGAUUUAAUAAUUUGAGAGCGGCGAACGGGUGAGUAACACGUUGGUAUCUGCCCCCAAGUCAGGGAUAGCCAUUGGAAACGAUGAUUAAUACCGGAUAGUCUCUUCGGAGUAAAGAUUUAUUGCUUGGGGAGGAACCUGCGUUCUAUCAGCUAGUUGGUGAGGUAAAAGCUCACCAAGGCUAUGACGGAUACCUGGUCUGAGAGGAUGAUCAGGCACAAUGGAACUGAGACACGGUCCAUACUCCUACGGGAGGCAGCAGUGAGGAAUCUUCCACAAUGGGCGAAAGCCUGAUGGAGCGACUCCGCGUGAAGGAUGAAGGCCUAACGGUUGUAAACUUCUUUUCUGAAGGAGCAUAAUGAGAGUACUUCAGGAAUAAGGGACGGCUAAAUACGUGCCAGCAGCCGCGGUAAUACGUAUGUCUCGAGCGUCUACCGGAAUCACUGCGUGUAAAGGGU